UACGUAGGGUGCGAGCGUUGUCCGGAAUUAUUGGGCGUAAAGAGCUCGUAGGCGGUGUGUCACGUCGGCCGUGAAAACCUGCAGCUUAACUGUGGGCGUGCGGUCGAUACGGGCAUCACUGGAGUUCGGCAGGGGAGACUGGAAUUCCUGGUGUAGCGGUGAAAUGCGCAGAUAUCAGGAGGAACACCGGUGGCGAAGGCGGCAUCCUGGACCGGCAUUGACGCUGAACAGCGAAAGCUAGGGGAGCAAACGGG
rnacentral:rRNA from 1 species